rnacentral:siRNA from 1 species
AAACCUCUCCGGAAAUCCACUAGA